UUAUCAAUUUAAUAUCUGAUAUGUGGUCCAAUAGAUUACACGAUAUUAAAUUAUACUUUUUUGAGGGAGAUAAACCAUUUCAUAGUUUGCUGCUGGACUUCUCAUGUAUCGCUCAUGCGUUGCACUAGUGCAUGAGCCUUGCGCACCCCACAGAAAAUGAAAGCUGACGCAAUAAAGUUUGGAUGGCAAGGGGUAAUGACUUUUUUCUUUUGCGAUUUUAGGGCAAUCCUUUUACUGUUCAUCACCACUUUUCUUCCCCUUUCCUUCCCUUGAAGCAACCUAGCCUAGCCUACCACCACCAACAACCACUAAUUAUGUCUUCAUCCACUUCAAAAAACUUCCUUAUACCGUGGCAUUGUUUGAUUUCAUCUUCCGAUCCACCUUUUCCAUCAAUCACCGACCUUAAGACCAAACCCACCCCUUCGGCAGAAACCAAAACCCAGCAGAAAUCUUUUUCUCAGGCGGUUAAUAACGUUUGCGAUGUUCCUUUAAGCCAACUCCCUCAACCUUGCAUAAAGGGGGAGAUUACGUAGAAUGGAAAGAUCUUUUGGACAUUACGUACAUGUUUUAGUUGAUAUGGAACUGAAUAAGGAUUUGGUACACAGGAUUCUAGUAGAAAGAAAGGGAUUUGCUUUUUUUGUUGACAUUGAGUAUGAAGCAUUACCUGAUUUUUGUACUAAUUGUCAAGUGACUGGACAUCAUGUUCAAAUUUGCAAGAAAUUGAAAGCACAAGAUGGUAAUCAUGAUCCACAGAAGGUGCGGGGUAAGGCAAAGAUUAGACCGGAAUGGGUCUCUAAAAGACCUAAUACUAAACAACCUGAGGCUGUUCCCAUUGAAAAGUCUGUAACCAAAUCUCCAGCAAGAAGCAAGGAUGAUUUAGCACUUGACAAUCUGAAAUUAAUGAGGCCAUUGAGGCACGCAAUGCAGCCUUUGCUAGGAAAAGUGCAUAACCGAACAAUUCUUCCAAUACUCCAAAUCAGAUUAUUCAUGAGGUUAGUGGUGAUAGUUCUGAGUUUGUGUUGUGAGUUAGAAUCUUCAAGUAAAAGUCUGGAUAGUGUUCCUUCUAGACCUGAAUUAGCUCAACAAGACAUAUAUUUUCUCAAAGAAUCUUGGACAAAUCUAGAAACAUCAAAAGCAAUUACUUUAAAUCAGGAAGGUUUUCUUGCGAUGCAAAUAAUUCCUGUCAAUGUUCAUGCUGCUCAACAAACUCAGCAAAACCCUAUUGUUGAUGAUGAAGGCUUUCAACAGGUUAUUUCAAAAGGAACUAAAAGAAAGCUCUGAAAGUUGCUUCUUUAAAGAGCAACUACACUACCAGAUCAAAGGUUGGAUCAUCCACACCUUUGAAAUAAAGUGCCUUUUUUGGAAUUUAAGGGGACUAGCUAACUCCCCCACAAAGUUAGCCCUGAAGAAGCUUUUUCUUUUGCAUAUAUAAACCAGACAUGUGUUUCAUUGCAGAACCAUGGAUUCAGGUCUCAAAAAUUUCAAAAUUUUGGCUUGACAGGUUGGGGUUGAAGCUAGUUUGUGUAAAUAAAAGGGGGAACCUUCUUCCAAACCUGUGGUGCUUUUGUGUUAAAAAUCUUAAUCCUGAUAUUAUAGAUGUGGAUGAUUAGCAAAUCACCAUUAACCUGGAGAUGAAUGGUUAGAUAUUGGGUCUGACCGGUGUUUAUGCUUCAAACAGUCAGAUGAAACGGAAAGAACUCUGGGAAAAAUUGAAACUAAUCCAACAUGCUUCUAAUACUCCCUGGUGCUGUAUAAGUGAUUUCAACACCAUUCUUGGUGCUCAUGAACAAAAAAGUAGAUACAGAGUCCAUGAAGCUACUAUGAAAGAUUUUCAAGAUUGGACUAAUUCCAAUAAUCUCAUUCAUAUUCACACAAGAGGUUCUAGCUAUACCUGGUCCAAUGGCAGAAGUAGUAGAUUUCACAUUCAAAGAAGGCUGGAUCGCACAAUAUGUAAUCAUGAAUGGUAUGCUGCUUGUAACUUAGUAACAUGUUCUACCCUCACUAAGCUUAGGUCUAACCAUUACCCUUUAUUGUUAGAAUUCAAAAAUGAUGAAUGCUUGUUUAUAUCUCAAUUUAAAUUUCUGAAAAUCACUACAAGAAAAUAAGGAAAUUGCGACACUUCAUCUGCGACCCAUGCCUUGCAACUGCCUCAAAUGCAUUUUUGCAACAGUUGUUGCGGCUGUUUGAGUGAACUGUCGCAGGGUUUGUUUCUUAAUUAAUUAGGAGCCGCGUUUUUAUUUUCAUUCCCCCGCAUACCCAAUUUUCUUUCCCCCCAUUGUCACUUUCCCAAAUCUCUCAAAUCUUCAUCUCAUUUUCAAAUCCCCCUUUUCUACUGCAAAACCUAACCUCCAAAUCUCUCAAAUCUCCAUCUCACCGUUGCUCACUCAGAAUGAGAAAACCUAACCCCCAAAACCUAACACGAGAUUCACAGCAAAACCUAGCAUGAAUCAAACAAUCGGUGCACACUCAUUCACUCAAUCUCAGAAUCACAAAACCUAACCCCAACAAUCGGUGCUCAAACGGAAACGGAAACGGAACUCAAUCAAUCAGAACUCAGCUCACUCAAUCGGAACUCAAUCUCAGAAUCGGAACUCAGCUCACUCACUCACUCACUCAAUCGGAACUCAAACGGUACUCAAAAGCUGUUUACUGCUGAAUGCUGAGUGCAAAUGUCUGCUGCUGAUUGCUGAGUGCAGUUAUUUAGUGUGUCAAUAUUGGUCAUUGUCGCAGCUGCUCUUUUAUUUAUUUUUUAAGUUGCUAUCUGAUAACAGGCAUACAAUGUUCUCAAAAGACUGAAAUUUCUUAGGCAUACAAUGUUCUCAAAAGACUUGCUGAUGUGAUUGAUAAAUUUGAUAGGAAAGCUCUAGAGCAAAUAAUCCGGUUGAAUCUCUUUCCAACGUGAGGUUGCCACAAAGCUAUUGAAAGACGAUGCAGAAAUGGAGGUUAAGAAUGUACUUAUUCCAAAUGAUGAACCUCAAAAACUAGUAGGCAAGUAGCCAACUCUCUAACAAUAAGCCUCUAGGAUCUACUUGGGAUUGGGCGAGCAUGCUUUGAGAUGUUGAGGCCCUUGGGUUAUAGUCUUUUGGCAGAAAUUGCACAUCAUGUUUGGCAAGAUCUGUUUCAAUCACAUGUAUGCUAUUCCAUAGUGGUUAUUUUUGACAAAUAUAUCAGAAAGUAAUUAUAGUUUAAUUGCGCAAUAAGUUACAAUCAUGACUUGCGUGACAUUAUUGAUUAUUUUCAUGUUAGGAACUCAAGAAACCUUAUUGUAUCACUUGUUUGUAUUUUAUGUAAAUGUAAAAUUCAUAUUUUAGUUUA